rnacentral:rRNA from 1 species
AGAGUUUGAUCCUGGCUCAGGACGAACGCUGGCGGCGCGCCUAACACAUGCAAGUCGAACGAGCGAGAGAGAGCUUGCUUUCUCGAGCGAGUGGCGAACGGGUGAGUAACGCGUGAGGAACCUGCCUCAAAGAGGGGGACAACAGUUGGAAACGACUGCUAAUACCGCAUAAGCCCACGGCUCGGCAUCGAGCAGAGGGAAAAGGAGCAAUCCGCUUUGAGAUGGCCUCGCGUCCGAUUAGCUAGUUGGUGAGGUAACGGCCCACCAAGGCGACGAUCGGUAGCCGGACUGAGAGGUUGAACGGCCACAUUGGGACUGAGACACGGCCCAGACUCCUACGGGAGGCAGCAGUGGGGAAUAUUGCACAAUGGGGGAAACCCUGAUGCAGCGACGCCGCGUGGAGGAAGAAGGUCUUCGGAUUGUAAACUCCUGUUGUUGGGGAAGAUAAUGACGGUACCCAACAAGGAAGUGACGGCUAACUACGUGCCAGCAGCCGCGGUAAAACGUAGGUCACAAGCGUUGUCCGGAAUUACUGGGUGUAAAGGGAGCGCAGGCGGGAAGACAAGUUGGAAGUGAAAUCUAUGGGCUCAACCCAUAAACUGCUUUCAAAACUGUUUUUCUUGAGUAGUGUAGAGGUAGGCGGAAUUCCCGGUGUAGCGGUGGAAUGCGUAGAUAUCGGGAGGAACACCAGUGGCGAAGGCGGCCUACUGGGCACCAACUGACGCUGAGGCUCGAAAGUGUGGGUAGCAAACAGGAUUAGAUACCCUGGUAGUCCACACCGUAAACGAUGAUUACUAGGUGUUGGGAGGAUUGACCCCUUCA